rnacentral:rRNA from 1 species
UACAUGGGGUGCAAACGUUGCUCGGAAUUAUUGGGCGUAAAGCGCGCGUAGGCGGUUACUUAAGUCGGAUGUGAAAGCCCUCGGCUUAACUGAGGAAGUGCACCCGAAACUGAGUAGCUGGAGUACGAAAGAGGGUCGCGGAAUUCCCGGUGUAGAGGUGAAAUUCGUAGAUAUUGGGAGGAACACCAGUGGCGAAGGCGGCUACCUGGACCGGUUCUGACGCUGAGGCGCGAAAGCGUGGGUAGCAAACAGG